GCAAUCCUAUACUAACCACAGUCCCGAAACUUUCCAAAAAUAGAACCGUCAAACCCGACGCUUUCUAUUUUUAGAAACUCACACAUAUUUCUCUUUCUCAUGACACCAACAAGUCAAAUCCAAGAAAUACUCACAUAGUACAAGUACAACAUCACAAUGUCAUACCUACCAAAAAAUAUUCCCACCUGGAAUAUCAUCUCUACCAUGACCAUUCUUCAAUUCAACUCCCAAACCAUCCCGUCAAUCAGGGUAUUACAUAAUAGUCUCCAACUUAACUUCUCGGAAAUCCAUUUCCAACAAAACACCACCGAAGACCCGCGCUCCGGACUACAACCACCACGACCACACAACUACUUCGAGCACCACGCUCGCAACCUCUAGCCCCC
rnacentral:lncRNA from 1 species